GGACUCCCCGCAAUACUAAAUUGUGAACCCCGUCAGGCCUGAAAGGGAGCAGCGGUAGCAGUGGAUGUGUGUGCCGGGGU
rnacentral:SRP_RNA from 1 species